CAAUAUAACUAAGCUUCCUCUGUUGCAGUGGUAUGCCUGAAUGUAAGCUUGGGCUCAAUGACAGAUUAUUAUUGGAGGCUCAAGGUAGAUCAACAAAGGGAAAAGCCAUUGAUCUGGAUGAUAUCAAAUUUCACCAGUGUGUGCGUUUGGCCCGAUUUGAAAAUGAUAGGACAAUUUCCUUCAUUCCCCCAGAUGGAUCUUUUGACCUAAUGACAUACAGACUCAGUACUCAGGUAAAGCCAUUGAUCUGGGUGGAAGCUCAAGUAGAAAGGCAUUCAAGAAGUCGUAUGGAAAUCAUGGUAAAAGCCCGGAGCCAGUUCAAGGAGCGUAGCACUGCGACUAAUGUCGAAAUUGAGCUUCCUGUGCCAUCUGAUGCGACAAAUCCUAAUGUUCGGACUUCCAUGGGUUCUGCUGCUUAUGCACCUGAAAGUGAUGCAUUGGUUUGGAAAAUAAAAUCUUUUCCUGGUGGCAAGGAGUACAUGUUAAGAGCAGAAUUUGUGCUUCCCAGUGUAACUGCUGAAGAAGCAAUUCCAGAGAGGAAAGCUCCCAUCCGCGUGAAGUUUGAGAUACCGUAUUUUACCGUCUCUGGAAUACAGGUCCGUUAUCUGAAGAUUAUUGAGAAGAGCGGUUACCAAUCUCUUCCAUGGGUGAGAUACAUAACAAUGGCUGGUGAAUAUGAAUUGAGACUUAUUUGAGAGGCGCCGUCCAUUUCUACUUCUGAGUAGGCAACAUAUCUAAUGGGCUCCCACUAUCUAGACUGAAACCUGCAAAUGAUAUCAGGGAGCAUCUUAGGAGGACAUUGAUGCAUUCCUGUACCCAUGAUAAUAGGUGUGAACUUGGAAGAGAGGGAAACGUUUUCUGAGGUCCCGAGUCUCCUGACUCGCAUUUGCUAACUAAUCAGCAUAAAAGUUUAUAACUAGCAUCUAUCAACUAACAUCUUUGCUAACCAAUCUCACCAUAGAGUCUGGAACUCUAAAAUUUUUGCACACACAAUAGGUUUUUGUAUGAUUCAUAAAAAGAAAGAGGACAUGUAUGAUGCAGACAUGAUGGUGUCAUACAUUCGUAUGUAAUGGCGAUGAUUUCUGUUUGUUCAUCAUGUGUCUAUCCAUGGUUCUGUUCAUGCUUUGAUAA